rnacentral:rRNA from 1 species
CCUGCCGAAUGAAUUAGCCCUGAAAAUGGAUGGCGCUGAAGCGAGUAGCCGACACUAUGCCAUCUGUUUGAUUUUACGAACAGAUGAGUAGGAGGGAACGUGGCGGUCGUUUUGAAGCGUAUGCGCAAGCAUGCGUGGAACGGCCGCUAGUGCAGAUCUUGGUGGUAGUAGCAAAUAUUCAAAUGAGAACCUUGAAGGGCGAAGCGGGGAAGGGUUCCACGCGAACAUUGAUUGAGCGUGGGUGAGUCGUUCCUAAGCCGUCUGGUAAUUUGCUAGACACUCGGCGAAAGGGAAGCAGGUUGAUAUUCCUGCACACGGAUGUGGAUAUGCGGUGACGCACACUGGGACGGUGAAGUCGUUGGUCGCACUGGGCAGAGAUUUCUUUUCUGUUUGACGGAGCCUGGCUGUACUCUAUGGAAUCCG